AGACUAGUUGUUUGCAGGGACUGCUGUGCAAUCGGAUGUAGGCAGGCAACAACAUUGAGGAGAUCAUCAACAACAUCAGGCUGCAAACCGUAGCCUCUGAACUCUGCACAAAAGGAAGUUGCGAUGUUAACAGCAGACGCACAAUUGCUCUGCAGGCACUUCCCAUCUUCCUGCGUGAAGAUGCUGCUGGAUUUUUUAAGACCUGGAAUGCAGAAGACAUUGACCUGCCAGACCUCUCGGAUACAACUGUAGCUGUUCUCACUGUCUCGAAUGAUACAGUCUCCCUUGUGAAGUUUGGUCCUGCAAUACAUUCUAUAGUUCUUGAGGGAGAGAUUGUGUGUUUGGCUUGAGGUCCCAGAGUUUCGUACGGAAAUGCUUUGGUCUGCCUUGAAGUCACUGGGAACUAAAAGAUCUUUUACGGUUUUAUUUGCUGAAUAAAUAAAACCGUAUUUAUUCAGCAUUUUUAUUGAAAAUGUGGUUGUUAUUUAUUUUAUUUUCUGUAUUAACCCCAUUGCU